CGUUUAUACCCAAGUGGUUUAAGGGAAUGGCUAAACAGUCAUAGGGCAAAAAAUAUUUGCCGCGAGGGUUCGACUCCCUCUAAUCGCGCCA
rnacentral:tRNA from 1 species